AGAGUUUGAUCAUGGCUCAGAUUGAACGCUGGCGGCAGGCCUAACACAUGCAAGUCGAACGGUAACAGGAAGCAGCUUGCUGCUUUGCUGACGAGUGGCGGACGGGUGAGUAAUGUCUGGGAAACUGCCUGAUGGAGGGGGAUAACUACUGGAAACGGUGGCUAAUACCGCAUAACGUCGCAAGACCAAAGAGGGGGACCUUCGGGCCUCUUGCCAUCAGAUGUGCCCAGAUGGGAUUAGCUAGUUGGUGAGGUAACGGCUCACCAAGGCGACGAUCCCUAGCUGGUCUGAGAGGAUGACCAGCCACACUGGAACUGAGACACGGUCCAGACUCCUACGGGAGGCAGCAGUGGGGAAUAUUGCACAAUGGGCGCAAGCCUGAUGCAGCCAUGCCGCGUGUAUGAAGAAGGCCUUCGGGUUGUAAAGUACUUUCAGCGGGGAGGAAGGUGUUGUGGUUAAUAACCGCAGCAAUUGACGUUACCCGCAGAAGAAGCACCGGCUAACUCCGUGCCAGCAGCCGCGGUAAUACGGAGGGUGCAAGCGUUAAUCGGAAUUACUGGGCGUAAAGCGCACGCAGGCGGUCUGUCAAGUCGGAUGUGAAAUCCCCGGGCUCAACCUGGGAACUGCAUUCGAAACUGGCAGGCUUGAGUCUUGUAGAGGGGGGUAGAAUUCCAGGUGUAGCGGUGAAAUGCGUAGAGAUCUGGAGGAAUACCGGUGGCGAAGGCGGCCCCCUGGACAAAGACUGACGCUCAGGUGCGAAAGCGUGGGGAGCAAACAGGAUUAGAUACCCUGGUAGUCCACGCCGUAAACGAUGUCUACUUGGAGGUUGUGCCCUUGAGGCGUGGCUUCCGGAGCUAACGCGUUAAGUAGACCGCCUGGGGAGUACGGCCGCAAGGUUAAAACUCAAAUGAAUUGACGGGGGCCCGCACAAGCGGUGGAGCAUGUGGUUUAAUUCGAUGCAACGCGAAGAACCUUACCUGGUCUUGACAUCCACAGAACUUUCCAGAGAUGGACUGGUGCCUUCGGGAACUGUGAGACAGGUGCUGCAUGGCUGUCGUCAGCUCGUGUUGUGAAAUGUUGGGUUAAGUCCCGCAACGAGCGCAACCCUUAUCCUUUGUUGCCAGCGGUCCGGCCGGGAACUCAAAGGAGACUGCCAGUGAUAAACUGGAGGAAGGUGGGGAUGACGUCAAGUCAUCAUGGCCCUUACGACCAGGGCUACACACGUGCUACAAUGGCGCAUACAAAGAGAAGCGACCUCGCGAGAGCAAGCGGACCUCAUAAAGUGCGUCGUAGUCCGGAUUGGAGUCUGCAACUCGACUCCAUGAAGUCGGAAUCGCUAGUAAUCGUGGAUCAGAAUGCCACGGUGAAUACGUUCCCGGGCCUUGUACACACCGCCCGUCACACCAUGGGAGUGGGUUGCAAAAGAAGUAGGUAGCUUAACCUUCGGGAGGGCGCUUACCACUUUGUGAUUCAUGACUGGGGUGAAGUCGUAACAAGGUAACCGUAGGGGAACCUGCGGUUGGAUCACCU
rnacentral:rRNA from 1 species